rnacentral:rRNA from 1 species
GAUGAACGCUAGCUACAGGCUUAACACAUGCAAGUCGAGGGGUAACGAGAGGAAAGCUUGCUUUCCUUGUCGACGACCGGCGCACGGGUGAGUAACGCGUAUCCAACCUGCCCCCAACUAGGGAAUAACCUUGCGAAAGUAAGACUAAUACCCUAUAAUUUCCUCAGAUGACAUCUGACGAGGAAUAAAGAUUUAUCGGUUGUGGAUGGGGAUGCGUCUGAUUAGCUUGUUGGCGGGGUAACGGCCCACCAAGGGAACGAUCAGUAGGGGUUCUGGAAGGAAGGUCCCCCACAUUGGAACUGAGACACGGUCCAAAUUCCGACGGGAGGCAGCAGUAAGGAAUAUUGGUCAAUGGGCGGAAGCCUGAACCAGCCAAGUAGCGUGCAGGAUGACGGCCCUAUGGGUUGUAAACUGCUUUUAUACAGGAAUAAAGUUAGCCACGUGUGGUUAUUUGUAGGUACUGCAUGAAUAAGGACCGGCUAAUUCCGUGCCAGCCGCCGCGGUAA